GACGAACGCUGGCGGCGUGCCUAAUACAUGCAAGUCGUGCGAACCACUUCGGUGGUGAGCGGCGGACGAGUGAGUAACACGUGGGCAAUCUGCCCGACAGACUGGGAUAACGCUUGGAAACGAGUGCUAAUACCGGAUACGCUCUUGAAUCGCAUGGUUCGAGAGGGAAAGCUGCCUUUGCAGCACUGUCGGAUGAGCCCGCGGCGCAUUAGCUAGUUGGUGAGGUAACGGCUCACCAAGGCGACGAUGCGUAGCCGACCUGAGAGGGUGACCGGCCACACUGGGACUGAGACACGGCCCAGACUCCUACGGGAGGCAGCAGUAGGGAACCUUCCGCAAUGGGCGCAAGCCUGACGGAGCAACGCCGCGUGAGUGAUGAAGGCCUUCGGGUUGUAAAACUCUGUCUUCUGUGAAGAACAAGCCUAUGACGAGAAUGCUUAGGCCCUGACGGUAACAGAGGAGGAAGCCCCGGCUAACUACGUGCCAGCCGCCGCAGUAA
rnacentral:rRNA from 1 species